CUAUUCGCAUUGCUAUUGGCUCCGCCGGGCCGUCACGCAGAGGCACGGAGCGUUCUGAUUGGCGGGAGGGCGGCGGAGCCGGGACGGCGGCUAUGGCGGCCGGAGCGGGAGCGGGAGCGGUGCCGCCGCCGCCAUUUUGUGUGUGAGGGGCAGGGCCGGGCCCGCUCCCGUGGCGGGCCGGGGUCCCGCCCGCGGCCCCGAACCGGCAGCCGGGGCUCUAUCCCGCGACCCGGCGCUCAUGGGGGGCGGUGCCGCGGCGGCAGCGGCCGUUUCCCCGCCAGCGCCCCGGGAGCGGAGCUCGGCGCUGCCCGGCGCCUCACGGAGCUGCGCGGCCUGCCCGGGCUCUGAGCCGCUGCACCUGCGUUACUGCCCGGAGCUGGGGCUGGUUUUCGAUCAAAAUUAGCGUUAAACGAUGUUGCUUUAAUAGGUCCCGAAUUCCAAAGCAUCAUAGGGAAAGGUGAUGGCUGCCCCAGCCCUGGAAGGAUCAACACCAAGACCACGCUGCACAGGACCUGGGACAGUGGAAGGUGUCCCUGCCCAUGGCAAUGGGGUGGAAUUGGUCUUUAAGUUUCCUCCAACCCAAUCCAUUCUGUGAUUCCAUUAUAUUUUAUAUCCCAGCUGCAUUUCCAGGGCUGGAA